rnacentral:lncRNA from 1 species
UACAGGGGUGGAGUCUAUUUCCCCAUCCCAUUAAUUAGUGGUGUUCUUAUCCCUUGCUUUAACCAAGAGAAUGUGACAAAAGUGACAUUGUCCAUACGUAAGUUCCAGAACCAUGGCCUCAGGAGGCCUUACAAUUUCUGCCUUUUCCUUUUUGAAACUUUAAGAUCAUCGUAUAAGGAAUCCUAGUUACACUCGAGUAUGAAUGACCACAAGAUGGGACUGCCCCAGCUAACAGUAAAAACAAAAUUUCAGAAAUGUGAAUGAGGCUACCUGGGCAGCAAUGAACUGAACAUAUGCAUUUUGGGGUUGUGGGGGGAGACAUGAGGGUCCUGAUAAAACCCACAUAGACAUGAGGAAAGCAUGCAAAUUCCAUAAACACAGUGGCCCUGGCGGGAAUCAAUUUUUUCAUCAUCAAUGUUAU